rfam:Nomascus leucogenys chromosome 7b, whole genome shotgun sequence.
GAAUGUGAAGGCUAUCUGGCUGAGACAUCUGUCACCUCAUUGAUCACCAGGGUUGAUUCGGCUGAUCUGGCUGGCUAGGUAGGUGUCCCCUUUCUCCCUCACCACAGCUUCAGGAGGGAUGCACAUGGAGCUGUGCUCCCCUGCUAGAACCUCAAAACAAGCUCUCAAGAAAAAAAAAACAUAAUUCUCAAAAGUAUAACUUUUGUGAACACAUCAGAGAGUAGAUGUUAUAGGACAGUUGAGUAUAAAAUAGAAGGAAUGACAGUUAUUCUCAGGGUGAGCCAGGAUGAACACUGGCUCAGCCC